AUCAGGAUCAAGGGCAUUAUUUCAAACCGCCACUGACUCGGUCUUCGUUUUCAUGCUAAACAGUACGGCUGAGAGGUCAUGUACCAUGUGGUCGACCUUGCUGACGCUGAAGAGGUUUCUGUGUAAAAAUUAUGGCCGUGCACAGGGGGGUGGCCCGGUGGCUAGAGCAACUGCCCCUCUGCCCUAAUCAGCUGAGGUGCCCCUCUCACCAACCGCCAACCCGGGUCAAAGUGUUCUGUUACUGCUCGUCUAAAGAUCCACCUUUUCUGGUAAUCCACUUCGUGAUUUCCCGCCCGCUACGCAGCAUCUCUCACAAUCUGUGUUCACUCUUUGAAGGGCGGAGACGACAGUUUGUUGUAUUAACAGGUAGAUUCAUUACAUUACCUCAUUUGUUAAGCUGCUCAAUUAGUAAUUUGGUAGUUUGAAGCCGAUAGAUGUCGUGUACUAUAUUUAUUUUUGCUUUGUUGUUUUCUCGUGAUCACGACUUAAUUCUCCUUAUCUCGAGAUAGUUGUAUUCUUGUGAUGUGAUUAAAGCUUACAAAAUACCAUAAUUUCUAGACAGCAAAAGCAUAUUUAGCUAAAUUAGCAUGAAUGAACAAAUGAGAUUUUACUUGGAUCAGGGAUUCGCUCAAGAUGAAACAGAUUUGCCAAUAAUUCACCAUUUGAUAGCGCGUUGAAUUUAGGGACCGUCUAUAAAGUAACUCCAUAUACGUUUUGGCACACUUUGUAGACAAAAAAAAUAAAAACCAAUGUUUUCACAAAAACAAGAAGACUGCAAAGGAAGGCUGCAAAAGCUCUUCAAAAUUGUAAACAUGGAUUCAAAGCUUCAGCACGUAAAUCAUAUAGAAUAUUAAGCAGUAAUCAACAAACACCACGAACCACUCUGUGAGUAGCACAGUUCUGAAAAUGAACGUUAAGUGUUGUUUUAAUGACAUGUUUGUGCAUGGCCCUUAACUUCCAUUCUGAAGCAGUCAAGAGACGCUUCUAAACAAGUCAAAAAGUCAAGACACGACGCAUUGUCAAAAUUUCAGUGACCAUCACCUUAGUUCAUCCAAAACAAACCAGAAAUGAGACUCAAAGUGUUUAAUACCGGAUUUAUUCUUUAAGACUUUUUCUUUAACAAAGCAUUCACAUAAUUUGUCUAGUAAAUUAUACUUAUCUCGCAAAAGUUAGCUUGUACGGAACAAAGCAUUCACAUAACUUGUCUGGGUAAUUUACUAAUGCCGCAAUAGCUAGCCUGUCUGGAACCGAGCAUAUAUUAAAACACAACACUGUGUGACACUUGCAUUACAUGUGAAUGGCCCCUACGCUAAUAGGAUUUUGUUUCUCUCUCCCUGUCUCGUCCUCAAACCCGAGGACAUUGAGACAAAUAGACCAGUUCCGGCUGCCGUGGAGGUCAACACACCACUGAUCUACUGGCUGCCCUUCAACGUGAUGCCCAGCUGAUGACUUACCACCGACGGAACCCGGAACUUUUGCUACUUAUAUUAUGCAGUGAAGGAGUGAUUCCCCAACAUCGAGGUGGCAGAGAUCCGGGACCUUCUACAGAGGAAGUGCAACAAUGACAGUUACAAGGCCUCCAGUAGUUCAAAUCAGAGCUAGAUGUGCAUAUAGUACAAGUUGUUCGCAAUUGUUCUCUUCCAGGCAUUUCAAAGAAAGUCGACUGUUUAAGGUUCCCCAUUUUGCCAAUAUCUGUUUU